rnacentral:rRNA from 1 species
ACUCCUACGGGAGGCAGCAGUAGGGAAUAUUGGUCAAUGGGCGAAAGCCUGAACCAGCCAUGCCGCGUGUCAGAUGAAGGUCCUCUGGAUUGUAAAUGACUUUUCUACGGGAAGAAUGAGCCGUCUGCGGACGGAAGUUGACGGUACCGUAGGAAUAAGCACCGGCUAACUACGUGCCAGCAGCCGCGGUAAUACGUAGGGGUGCAAGCGUUGUCCGGAUUUACUGGGUUUAAAGGGUACGUAGGCGGUUGUGCCAAGUCUGGGGUGAAAGUUUGCAGCUCAACUGUAAAAUUGCCUUGGAUACUGGUCGGCUAGAGUAGUGGAGCGGUGGCUGGAAUUUAUAGUGUAGCGGUGAAAUGCUUAGAUACUAUGAGGAACACCAAUUGCGAAGGCAGGUCACUGGUCACUAACUGACGCUGAGGUACGAAAGUGUGGGGAUCAAACAGGAUUAGAUACCCUGGUAGGAUAGCC